UACGUAGGGGGGCUAGCGUUGUCCGGAAUCAUUGGGCGUAAAGCGCGUGUAGGCGGCCCGGUAAGUCCGCUGUGAAAGUCCAGGGCUCAACCCCUGGGAUGCCGGUGGAUACUGUCGGGCUCGAGUCCGGAAGAGGCGAGUGGAAUUCCUGGUGGUAGCGGGUGAAAUGCGCAGAUAUCAGGAGGAACACCUGUGGUGUGAGACGGCUUUCUGGACCUAGCUGACGCUGAGACAC
rnacentral:rRNA from 1 species